GACGAACCGUGCGAACGUUAUUCGGAAUCAUUGGGCUUAAAGCGCGUGUAGGCGGAUUCGUGCGUCUGUCGCUGAAAUCCCCCGGCUCAACCGGGGAAGUGGCGUGGAUACGACGAGUCUGGAGGGGCAUAGGGGGGACCUGGAACUUCCGGUGGAGCGGUGAAAUGUGUUGAUAUCGGAAGGAACGCCGGUGGCGAAAGCGACACACUGGGUCUCAACUGACGCUGAGGCACGAAAGCCAGGGGAGCGAACGGG
rnacentral:rRNA from 1 species